rnacentral:lncRNA from 1 species
AUUACUGCAACAGAACUUCUGCUGAUCAUUUACACUAUCUGGAAUUGUUACAAAUGGGCAGAAAAAAAGUAUACGAACCUUGGCCUGUAUUCCCACAAAUGACUAAGAGCUGGCUGUGUAAAAAGUUUUAGGUCAAAUCUCGUGACAAUGAGCUUCAAGAAGCAUAAAGGGAUGUCCCAUUGCUUCCAGGAUUUUGCAAUUUGGUUGUACCAAAUAUUGCUCAAUAUCACUCUCAAAUACCUGAAAACCAUUCCAAGGAAACAGUCCUUACUCAAAUUGAUUAUGACCCAAGAUACAUAGAUCACAGGCUAUAAUUUCCAAAAAUGUGGAUAUUUUAAUACCUAAUUCCUUUGCCAUUUUCCUUCCAGAACCAACUCUGCUAACACAUUCCCUCUUUCUGCUAGAAAAGAAAAACUGCCACCAUCUUUAAUUCCCUCGAUCAGUCAUGGCCACAAGAUACCAUUUUUUCAUUACCAAUGAGUGCUUCUAGGGACCAUCAUGCUCACAUACUAUACCAUGCAAUCAAAUGUUUCAUAUUUUGAAUUUAGAGGAAAAUUCAUUGGUGCAAUUAGAAAUUCUACACACACACACGUUAGAAAAAGUUCCUAAUCAGAGUACCAGCAUAAGUAAAAGUGUUCUUUUUAGUGGAGCCCUUCACAAAUGAGACAAAACUUGUGAUGUAUUUGUCUCUAGCAAGACACUACAGAAUGCAGAACUUGAUGCAGGUUUAAAAUAGUGUCCCUCGCCCUCUCCUUCGAUUAGACUUUAAUGAGCCGUGUCUGUCAUGUUCACUGUUGUAUCUUGGUAAGCAAUAAGGUGCCUAUCAUAUAGUAGAAGCUCAAUAUUUGUGGAAUGAAUAAAUGUGGAUAAAUAAUGAGUCAAUGAACUGUAUUAUGAUUCUCCCCGCCACCCAUCUGUGACCUGAAUUCAACCCUAUAAGUUUUUCCAAACCCUAAAUCCAGCACUAUAUUCCAGAUUCCUCUGGAUUCCCAGCACUCUGUCUCAUCUUCUUACCAGCUGGCCCCGAUUUUCAGACAUCCAUUUGCCCCCUCCUCCCUUGCCUCAAACUCCCUCUAGUCCUUACUGAUCCCCACAGUUAAGACCGGCGUUCUUCUAUCUCCAAGUACAGAACAAAAUUAAAACGUGUGCAAGAGAAAUGAGAGCUCAAGAAAAAACACCUACUAGCCUUUACUAUGCCCCUGUUCAAACCCUGAUUUUAAUCAUUUUUGCAUUUAUGUAUUAGUCCAUUCUUUCUUUCAACAAAUAAUAGAGUGACUUCUGAAUUCUGUUAUUCAUAUUGAUACAUAGAUACAUCCAAUAUGGAACCUCCAGUAGUUGCAGUUCAAUAAUCAAGAUCUGGGCUGGGCAUGGUGGCUCAUGUCUGUAAUCCCAGCACUUUGGGAGGCCGAGGCGGGUGGAAUACCCUAGGUCAGGAGUUCAAGAUCAGCCUGACCAACAUGGUGAAACCCCAUCUCUACUGAAAAUACAAAAAUUAGACGGGUGUGGUGGUGGGCGCCUGUAAUCCCAGCUAAUUGGGAGGCUGAGUCAGGAGAAUUGCUUGAACUCAGGAGACAGAGGUUGCAGUGAGCCAAGAUUGCACCAUUGCACUCCAGCCUGAACAACAAGAGUGAGACUCCGUCUCAAAAAUAAUAAUAAUAAUAAUCAAGAUCUGGCAAAAAAAGAACGUAUUCCUAGUGCUGAAGUCCCAAGUUACUCCUAGUGCUGAAUCCCAUUUCAGUGAUGAGUAUAGGGAAACAAAUAUUACUGAGUCUCUCCUAUGUGCCAGGCACUAUACUGCACGCUUUUCAUAUGUCAUAAAGAAUCAUUACCAUGGAACUUGAAUGAUGUCCUUGGAUACUGUUUUAGUACAUUGAGCCUGUGUGUCUAAGAGAGGUCUCCAGCUCCCUACACUUCAAGUCCUCUGGCUCUUGUAAAACAACUGAGUCACAAGUAACAGAUGCAACUGUAACACAGUUACAGAUCAAGACACAGAUCUUGCUUGUGUUUACAGAAUUGUGAUCCCACUAGAGGAAACACUGGUUCCUUUGCCUGUGUUUACAAAAUUGUAAGCCUGCCGAAAGAACCUUUUGUUCGAUGUUAGAUUAGAAUUGCAUUACUCUCUGGCUUUAUGAGAAACCUAACUUCAAGUUAGUCACAAAGAGGAUGACUGAGUAUCUGAGACAGAACAUUAAUAAAAUCAAGAAUACACUCAUUGGAAUAUGUUCAUGGCUUUAUUAAAUUUUGAUCAGGAUGGGUAUAGUGUCUCAUACCUAUAAUCCCAGAACUUUAGGAUACUGAGACAGACAGGUUGCUGACUUGAAAGCCCUGGGGAAGUGGGGUUUCACUUUUAAGCAGGUCUGGUUGCCAAUGAAUUCAGUAUGAUUGGACCUCACAUUUUAGAUGCCAGGAAAUUUUCAUUAAAAAUAAAAUUCUUGAAACUUGACCUUUU